rnacentral:snoRNA from 1 species
AUCUCAUGAUGUGGACAUCUUCUCAAUUGUUCUUAAAUCUUUCCCAAGCUUCAUACAAGGAUUCACCUGCAAAUUAUGUGAAUGAGGUGAUAUCAAUCCUCAUCUU